AAGGUACCAUUUAAGCCCAAAGUUUAUCACCAACUCCACAAAAGGAAAAUCCAGACCUUGCAGAUCUUAUGAAGAAACACAAGUAACAUUUUACUAGCAUGAUUUUAGAUGUCCACACAUAGAAACCCUCAACCGAAUCACUGUUUUUACACAAAACAGCGCUUGAUUUGCACGAAUCAGACAGUCUCAGCCACUGUACCCUCAAGUUGGCUAAGGUUUCCUUUCUCCUUGAUGAGCUGAAUGUGAUGAUGCUUGCAGUAAAGUGUCCCCUCAUGUGCGAUGUAGUUUGAAGGGCUUAUGGUACAUCCUCCGUGUGCGCAUUUGAAGCAGCUUUUGUGGU
rnacentral:misc_RNA from 1 species